AACGAACGCUGGCGGCAUGCCUAAUACAUGCAAGUCGAACGAGACCUUCGGGUCCAGUGGCGCACGGGUGCGUAACCCAUGGGAACCUGACCUCAGGGUCGGCAUAACUACCAGAAAGGGGUGCCAAUACCGGAUAAUUUCUACGGCCCAAAGAUUGAUCGCCCUUGGAGGGGCCGGCGUUGAAUUAGCUGGUUGGUAGGGUAAAAGCCUACCAAGGCGACGAUCCAUAGCUGGUGUGAGAGGAAGAGCCGCCACACUUGGAAUGGGACACAGCCCAGACUCCUACGGGAUGCAGGAAAGGGGGAUAGUGGACAGUGGGCUAAAGCCUGAUCCAGCUAGGCCGCGUGAGUGAUGAAGUCCUUGAAGUUGUAAAGCUCUUUUACCCGGGAUGGUAUUGACAGUACCUAGAGAAUAAGCUCCGGCUAACCCCGUG
rnacentral:rRNA from 1 species